GGCCCGUUGGCGCAAUGGUAGCGCGUCAGAUUCCAGUUUCCUCACAAACAAGGUAUAUCCUGAAGGCUGCCCGUUCGAAUCGGGCACGGGUCA